rnacentral:lncRNA from 1 species
ACAGAUAUAUAAUCAUGGCAUACAUCAUACAGAAUCAGAUCGUCAUGCUUUUCAGUCAAAAUUAACCCUAGGGGUAUAACGGUAAUUUUACACCUAGGGGUAUAAUAGUAAUUUUCCAUACAUAGGGGUAUUAUAGUAAUUUAGCUACUUUUAGCGUUUUCAUGCAUAUCCUAACUAUUUACGUACUAUCAGAACACUUACCGCGCAUACUUACCGAAUUGGGCCCGUUGGCCC